AGAGUUUGAUCCUGGCUCAGGACGAACGCUGGCGGCACGCUUAACACAUGCAAGUCGAACGAGAGAAGAGGAGCUUGCUUUUCUGAUCUAGUGGCGGACGGGUGAGUAACACGUGAGCAAUCUGCCUUUCAGAGGGGGAUACCGAUUGGAAACGAUCGUUAAUACCGCAUAACAUAAUUGAACCGCAUGAUUUGAUUAUCAAAGAUUUAUCGCUGAAAGAUGAGCUCGCGUCUGAUUAGCUAGUUGGUAAGGUAACGGCUUACCAAGGCGACGAUCAGUAGCCGGACUGAGAGGUUGAUCGGCCACAUUGGGACUGAGACACGGCCCAGACUCCUACGGGAGGCAGCAGUGGGGAAUAUUGCACAAUGGAGGAAACUCUGAUGCAGCGAUGCCGCGUGAGGGAAGAAGGUUUUAGGAUUGUAAACCUCUGUCUUCAGGGACGAAAAAAGACGGUACCUGAGGAGGAAGCUCCGGCUAACUACGUGCCAGCAGCCGCGGUAAUACGUAGGGAGCGAGCGUUGUCCGGAAUUACUGGGUGUAAAGGGAGCGUAGGCGGGAUCGCAAGUCAGAUGUGAAAACUAUGGGCUUAACCCAUAAACUGCAUUUGAAACUGUGGUUCUUGAGUGAAGUAGAGGUAAGCGGAAUUCCUAGUGUAGCGGUGAAAUGCGUAGAUAUUAGGAGGAACAUCAGUGGCGAAGGCGGCUUACUGGGCUUUAACUGACGCUGAGGCUCGAAAGCGUGGGGAGCAAACAGGAUUAGAUACCCUGGUAGUCCACGCCGUAAACGAUGAUUACUAGGUGUGGGGGGACUGACCCCUUCCGUGCCGCAGCAAACGCAAUAAGUAAUCCACCUGGGGAGUACGACCGCAAGGUUGAAACUCAAAGGAAUUGACGGGGGCCCGCACAAGCAGUGGAGUAUGUGGAUUAAUUCGAAGCAACGCGAAGAACCUUACCAGGUCUUGACAUCGUAUGCAUAGCUCAGAGAUGAGUGAAAUCUCUUCGGAGACAUAUAGACAGGUGGUGCAUGGUUGUCGUCAGCUCGUGUCGUGAGAUGUUGGGUUAAGUCCCGCAACGAGCGCAACCCUUACUGUUAGUUGCUACGCAAGAGCACUCUAGCAGGACUGCCGUUGAUAAAACGGAGGAAGGUGGGGAUGACGUCAAAUCAUCAUGCCCCUUAUGACCUGGGCCUCACACGUACUACAAUGGCUGUCAACAGAGGGAAGCAAAGCCGCGAGGUGGAGCGAACCCCUAAAAGCAGUCUUAGUUCGGAUUGUAGGCUGCAACCCGCCUACAUGAAGUCGGAAUUGCUAGUAAUCGCAGAUCAGCAUGCUGCGGUGAAUACGUUCCCGGGCCUUGUACACACCGCCCGUCACGCCAUGGGAGUCGGUAACACCCGAAGCCUGUAGUCUAACCGCAAGGAGGACGCAGUCGAAGGUGGGAUUGAUGACUGGGGUGAAGUCGUAACAAGGUA
rnacentral:rRNA from 1 species